rnacentral:lncRNA from 1 species
GCCCUCCUGGUGAGAUCCCAUGGUGUCCCCUGGCCUCCAGUGUCAUCUGCUCUGCGUGAUAUCUCCAGGGGGACCUCUCUGCUGGGCUCCAGGCCGCAUGGCUGUGGGUGACCAGCAUGAUGUCCCACCAGGACCCCUGCAGUCCCAGCGCACCUGCCUGCUCAUCCAGGGACCUGUCCUCACUGCCUGCUGCCCGCACUGUGUGGAAGGACAGAGGCUAAACGAGGAAGCCUCGAGCUCUGGUCUCAUGGAAAUGGCAGCCUGCCCACCAUCCACGCCUGCCCAGCCUUUCUUCACGCAGGAAGAAUAUUUCUCAGCCCUCCGUUCUCAAGACAGAUGAGUGCUUUAGAAAGAGGACUCUGCAGCGGCGAGGAGGAUGGAAUGACAGGCAAAGCACGCAGGACCAGGAGAUGGCUUCGUUCCCUCAAUCACUCAUCCAAAGAUGUUUAAUGAGCACCUACUGUGUGUCAGGCAUUGUGCUGGGCAAUGGGGAUAUCGUAGUCAGUAUCAGUAAUAAGUGAGGAGAGAUGAGUUCAUUUGUGAGAGGCUCUGACCAGUGGAAUCAGAGGAAGGGAGGGCCCAGGGUGGGCCAGAUUCAAAGACAUUUUGGAAGUAGAAUCUGCAGAACAUCAUGAUCUUUUGGAAACAGGGCAGGGACGUGAAUGAGCACGUAAUGUCCCCAUGGGUUUGUCUUUCCGAAGGUUUGAAAUCCUCAAGAAUAAGGAACAUAGGCAUGUGUGGUAAUGGUCUCCACGGUGGGGGAGUAUUAUG